GUACAUUAACUUAUACUAAACCACACUGGCUCUGCUCUGGUCAUGUGACCACUGUCUGUCCGUCCUCGUCCAAUCAGAGCGUCUGUCGGGGGACAACGUGGCGGUGUCGUGUCCACGCUUGAGUCCAGACGGAUCCACGUUGGUCUUCCUCCAGGGUCGAGUGUUUGGACCUCACAACCAGUGUCUCAGCAUCCAACAGAUGGAUCUGCAGACUGGGACGUUGUCCACUCUGGUGGACGUGGUCCACAGACCACAGGAUGGUGGCUUCGCAGGUGUGUAUGAAGCGCUGCCGUCCUGCUGUUGGUCUACAGACGCUCAUAGAAUUGUGUUCAGCAGCGCCUGCAGGAACUGGAAGGUAACCAACACAACCUGUUCUGUUUUCUACCACUGAAUGUUUUUCAUGGGUUUUUCAUCAGUGUUU
rnacentral:lncRNA from 1 species